AGGCUGGCUCCUUGGGAAGGGAAGUUGGGAUCCCAGGCUAGGAGGAAGCCGGCAGCCCCGUCCCCACUGGGCCCACAGUGAGUCGUGCCUUAGAGACUCCGGGUUGUCCUGUUCUUACUGGGCUCGCUUGUCUACCCCCCACCCUGUCCCACUCUGCCCCCCACCCCCAUACCUCCACUGCUGCCGUUCCCUCCAGCCCCUCUGUCUGCCUUGUGAAGGUGGCAGGGGCCAGACCUGCCUGACAUAGGACCACAUUCUGUCCCUCCCUCACCUGGGACAGCACAGCAGAGUCCAGGUGGGGCAUAGCCAGACCCUGGUCAGCGUUGAAUGGCAGAGAAAAGAUCUUAGGAAAGGAGAGGAAUCGUCACCACCUCCUGCCAACUGAGAUGACUGGGAAGUACCAUGCUCAUUCAAAGCUGCAUCAGAAACCGGCCGAGGAACAGAAUUCCGGCUGAGGCUUCUGGGGCCACUCCUCCACCGCCCUCCCCCAGGUCGAGGCACUGUGGCACACUCGUCAGGAAGAGGUUUGGGGUUCCCUUGUUGUCACUGGCCGCUGGCUCUGCCACCUGAUCUUGUUCUCGGCAGCUGGUCGGGGCGGGUCCGGGAUGGACCCAGGCCCUUCCCAGGGCUGUGGGGAAACCUGCUCUCCACUAGCCGGGCCUCUCCAGAGGCCGAUGAGCAGACAGCCCGUGUCUCCUGCUCCAACUCUGCCCCUGAGACAGCUCAGAGCCAGAAGGCACCAGGGACUCUCUGGCCCAAGUGGGGAAGUUGAGGCAGAGAACAGCAAAGGGGUCAUGCAGUGAGCAGUGGGGUGUGGGAGGCAGAGAAGGGCCAGGGUACCUGGGGUGGGGGUGCCUGCCUCUUCCCUCCACCUCCUCCCCUCCUUCCUGGCAGCUGAAGACUCAACCCUGAGGACUCGGGCCAUGGAAGUCAAGACACCCGAUCCCCAAACCCUGGGUGGGCCUGACUCAGCCUCCUGCCCGGCUUCAGCCCCACCCUCAUCUCUGACAUAGAAGAUGCAGCUGAGGCAGCUCUUUCCUCUCGGGGUCUGCCGUAGGUGCCUCAGCUGGUUCCUGCUCCCAGGCCUGGCCCCAAAGCCCGAGGGGCCUUCUCAGCCUUAGCCCUGGGUACUGGGGUGAAGUCGGCAGGGGAGAGCUUGGCUCUCACUUCCGCCUCCCUGAUGGCCAUGCUGAGGGACAGUGGUGACUGGCCACUUGGUACUGGUGUAGGGGCCUGUGCCCUUCCAGGGCCGGUGAGCCAGCCUUCUACUCUCCCAACCCAGAGCUGAGUCCGGUGGCCCCAGGCCCACCCCCUGGCCCUCUCCGAGGUCUGUGCCCUCGCUGCCCGGCCCCCAUCCAGCCGGAGAGCAGCCUAGCGCCUCAUCUCCCACAGGCAGGCAGAUGCUUGAUUCUCCUGUCCUCUUUCUUCCUUCCCCUGUAUUUAUUUAUUUACUUAUUUAUGGCUUGUGCUAAAGACCAAAAUAGUCUCCCUCUUUAGUGCACUUGAAGUGGGAGGGCGGAUGGAACGAGCCAGGAGCGAGGGAGACUUGGCCCCUGGGGAGUGUGUGUGUGUGAAGGCGUGUGCCCGUGUGAGCCUGCAGGCAUACAUGGGUGGCACACACAUGCACACUCAGCUCUUCAUGCGUAUGACUGGGUCAGUCAUACGGGUGCGUGAUCUCUUCGUGUGUGUGUGCGUGCACGUGGUUAUGUGUCUGUCUACCCACCGGUGUGUCUGUGCAAGUUUCCUACAAGGGGGACUGUGAGGCUGGGCACCCACCUGUCAGGUUGGGCACCGGCCAUAGACGCUGGCACAGUUGAACCCCCUGGUCCCUGACCCUCUGUCCUGAUUACGCACAUCUGUGCCUGAGUAGAGCUCGUUUUCCUGGAUGAGGUACCUGGAGGUGAGUGCGUGCAUCUGGCUCGUGUGUAGGUGGCUGUGUGUGUGCCCAUGUGAGCCCGUGUACCUGAGUGUGUGUGUGCAGCCCGUGCGUGCUGCUCAGAGCACGGUGGCUGCCCCCUGAGCCUCUACUGGUGCUGUGCUGCCCGGUCCCCGCCCAGAGGGUCCUGGGGGCAAGGAGGAGCCACCAUUGGGAGGCCCCUGUGCAGGGUGUCUGCCCUGCGUGAGGUCAUAGAAUGUCAAAUUAUUUUAAAUGGUGAAACCGGAGAAUUUCAUGUUAUUUUCAAUACAUAGCAGUAUCUAAAGACGUAGGCGAUGAGACUAGACCACAUUAAAUGCAUUUUGAUCUCUUUGA